UACGAAGGGGGCUAGCGUUGCUCGGAAUCACUGGGCGUAAAGCGCACGUAGGCGGCUUCUUAAGUCAGGGGUGAAAUCCUGGAGCUCAACUCCAGAACUGCCUUUGAUACUGGAGAUCUUGAGUCCGGGAGAGGUGAGUGGAACUGCGAGUGUAGAGGUGAAAUUCGUAGAUAUUCGCAAGAACACCAGUGGCGAAGGCGGCUCACUGGCCCGGAACUGACGCUGAGACGCGAAAGCGUGGGGAGCAAACAGG
rnacentral:rRNA from 1 species